GAUGAACGCUGGCGGCGUGCCUAAUACAUGCAAGUCGAGCGAACAGACGAGGAGCUUGCUCCUCUGACGUUAGCGGCGGACGGGUGAGUAACACGUGGAUAACCUACCUAUAAGACUGGGAUAACUUCGGGAAACCGGAGCUAAUACCGGAUAAUAUGUUGAACCGCAUGGUUCAAUAGUGAAAGACGGUUUUGCUGUCACUUAUAGAUGGAUCCGCGCCGCAUUAGCUAGUUGGUAAGGUAACGGCUUACCAAGGCAACGAUGCGUAGCCGACCUGAGAGGGUGAUCGGCCACACUGGAACUGAGACACGGUCCAGACUCCUACGGGAGGCAGCAGUAGGGAAUCUUCCGCAAAGGGCGAAAGCUUGACGGAGCAACGCCGCGUGAGUGAUGAAGGUCUUCGGAUCGUAAAACUCUGUUAUUAGGGAAGAACAAAUGUGUAAGUAACUAUGCACGUCUUGACGGUACCUAAUCAGAAAGCCACGGCUAACUACGUG
rnacentral:rRNA from 1 species